rnacentral:rRNA from 1 species
CACGCAAAGAUGCAAUGGUAAGAGAGCAGAAGUUAAAACAAGGUCAAUCGAAAAGACAUUAAUUGAAAGAAUACAAGAUAGUAUAAAUCUUUGGUGAAUAAAAUUGAGUGCGGGAUAGUGGCGGACGGGUGAGUAACGCGUGAACAAUCUGCCCCGUACAAAGGGAUAGCCUCGGGAAACCGGGAUUAAAACCAUAUAACACUUAACUGCCGCAUGGUAGUGAAGUCAAAUCGAGUAAGAGGUAUGGGAUGAGUUCGCGUCUGAUUAGCUAGUUGGUGAGGUAAGGGCUCACCAAGGCGACGAUCAGUAGCCGGCCUGAGAGGGUGAACGGCCACACUGGAACUGAGACACGGUCCAGACUCCUACGGGAGGCAGCAGUGGGGAAUAUUGCACAAUGGAGGGAACUCUGAUGCAGCGACGCCGCGUGAGUGAAGAAGGUCUUCGGAUCGUAAAACUCUGUCCUUGGUGAAGAAAAGGACGGUAGCCAAGGAGGAAGCCCCGGCUAACUACGUG